rnacentral:tRNA from 1 species
AAAAAUAUAGCAUAAAUUAAUGCAUUUCACUUACACUGAAAAAAUGCUACCCAAGCUAUUUUUAA